CAUUUCAUAAUAUUCAAACAGAAAGAUAGUGAGAAAUACUAAAUUGUACUACGAUAUGGGAGUAUGACAGCAAUCAGAAGUAGUAGGAUGACAUUAAGAUUCAGUCACUCAAGGAGGGGACUUAAUCUAUAAUUAUCUAUUUUAACAAGCUGGUACUAAAUAAUCUGAAAGUGGCGUUCUUUGCAGUAUAUUUUAAAAGAAUAUUACCCACAAGUGUACUCCACAGAGCAGCUGCAUUAGCAUCGCCCGUAGCUUGUGAGAAAUGUAAAUUUGUGGCCCCUACCUCAAACCCGGAUCAAUCUCGGAUAAUAAGGAUCAGAAAUCUGUUUUAACAAACCAUCCAGGCCAUUAUCUGUGCUAAAGCUCACGACUCUGUUUGAAGAAAUGCAGGAGAAUUACACAUAAAAUAAUUUCCCUUUAGGUUCACAGAUCUGUGUUCCUUAUGUCUGUUCAGGAUAUACAGUCUCCGAACUGAGGUUUGAUUAGGAAAUUUGAAUUUUUUUUUUUCGCAUUCACUUGAAUCCCCAAAACAGUUUUAGCCACGUUUUGCAUUUUAGAAAGAUCACUUAAAUAUGAUAAUCAGAUUAGUAGAUUGAAUCUACCACUCAGCUUUUUAAAGUACUUUAAAAGGGGGCAAACACUCAAAUUAUGACAGCAUAAGACAGAGCUGAUGUGGGAAUGAGACAAGAAGCAAGACUUGAUUUGCUGGAAGUUAGGCUAACGAAGUUGGCAUCACUAUGAAGGACUGGAUGUGGUGGUGGCAGUAGCCAGCAGCGAGAGCUGGUUUCAUCAGGUCUGUAAUUCUCUGCUCACCCUCCCCACCCCAGUCAAAUACUUAAUUUCCUAAUAUAUGAGGAAAACUUACAGCCAAUUGGGAGAACAGGAGAAUCGAUCAUCUUUGAUGUUACCAAUCCUCACAAACAUCUCACUGUUCUCUACAGUCUCAACUCCCAUCUCUGAAAGCCCAGUCCCCAAUCUCCUGCUUUUUCUCCCCUUUUCCCCUGGAUCUUUUUUUUUUUUUUUUCAAUUUCAAAGACCCAGAUUUAUUUUUAAAAAUGAAAUUCCUUUGCUUGGCUUGUCCCUUCUCAUCCUUUUCCUGGAAAAUUAUGCUGUCUUUACUCUUGUUAUCAAUUUCAUUCUUAAUCUUUUAAAAAUUUUAAAGGGGCGCCUGGGUGGCUCAGUUGGUUAAGCAUCGGACUCUUGAUUUUGGCUCAGGUCAUGAUCUCAGGAUCCAGGAUCGAGCCCCGCAUAAGUCUGUGCCCUUGGUUAUUCUCUCCCUCUCCCCUCUUUUUCCCUCUUCCCUCUCCCUCUCUCCCAGAGAGAGAAUGAGAGGGAGUGUGCACACUUGCUCAGGAGGAGGAUCAGAGGGAGAGAGCUCAAGCAUGCUCCCUGCUGAGCACGAUGCCCUUCCUGGGACUUGAUCCCAUGACCCUGAGGUCAUGACCUGAGCCGAAAUCAAUAUUUGGAGCCUGAGUCACCCAGGCAUCCUUUAUCUUUUAGAAUUUGAUGUCAUACAAUUCAUGAAUCUCUAGAUUGAAAAGAAUGAUUAUGCCUGGUUAUGCUUCAAAUUCCCCAAAUAAAGACAUUAAAUAGACACAUAUCUCACAAUCAAAAAUUGUCUACUGAUGAUGAGGGAACCUAAUCCCUACCCAGCAAUGUUCUUCAUCUCUAGACAGUGCUGUCCAUUCUCUAGAUUGAUUUAAAAAUCUAUUUCCCUAUCCGAGGAUACCAGCAUGGAGAAUAAUUAUGACAUAGAGCCAAUGUAUAAACCUGUACUAUUUCUUCUUGCUAAUAAUUUUAGGAUCAUUUAGGACAAACUAAUAUUUUGAUAAUCUAUGAUAGAAGCUCUGUCCUAUCUUUUCUACCUCGAUAUCAGUAACCUGUGAGAGGUUGCAGUUGAAUGCAGUUGAAUGACUUCAGUAUCCUUCCACUUUUUGAUUUGACCCUAGGUUUUAAGUGUUGUCUGGGUGUUUAAGAAGCCUGAAGUCAUCAAGAUAAAACCUAACCUCAAAAAUUGGAAGCCAAGUAACCUGCGGAGAAGGAAUACACAGAAAAUUUUGAUUGAUUUGGUUAGGGCAUAAUUAGGGCAUGGUGCAUAGGCUAGAUUUUUCUGGUUUUCAAAAAUUGAAUUUUGUGUGUGUGUGCUAUUUCAAUUUUCAUCAGCACUCCUGGUUCUAAACACUGAGAUAGAGUCCAUCUAUUCCCUCCCCCACAUGACAGCUCUUUUAUAUAUUUCCAGGGAACUCUUCUGUCCCUGAUGACUUUUUUGUUUUUAUACCUUAAUCCCUUCUUCCUUCAAUGGCUAUUUAAGAGGUAUGGUCUGUAUUUUAAAGUAUGGUACCCAUAACUGCAUGUGAUACUUCUAAUCCAUUUAGGUCUUAUUAGCACAGUUGGGAUAUCUCCUCCCUUGUAAUUAAUAUGUUAAGAGCUAUUUUUAGUAGUCACAUGACAUUGCUGAGUUGAUAUUUAACUAAAAUGAGCUAAAAAUCCUGUCUUUUCUAACUAUGCUGUUUUGCCUUAUCUCUCCUUUUUCACAAAGUUGAGUUGGGUUUUUGGCUCAUAUAUGACACUAUGCCUUAAUCCCUCUUAAUUUUUCUAAAUUCAUUCCUAGUUCCAGCCACUCAGGAUAGUUUUGAUUCCUAAAUCUGGAGUCUCUCAGCUCCUCAUCCACAAAUUUACGAAGUUGCCUUUUGUAAUUUCAUCCAAGUUACUAAUUAAAAUGUCGAAUGGUACUGGGCCAAGGAAAAGUAUGCAAAAAGCCACAGGCCUCCUCCCUUCAACUUGACAAAGAUUAACUAAUUGUCACUAUUUAGGUACAACCAUGCACCUACUCACUAAUGAAUAUAACUGAAAUAUUUUUAAAGUGUUAACAGAUUAUCAUAAAAGACUAUAUAAUCUACAAAUUUAACCAAAAUAUCUCUAUUUCCAGGUCAGUUUUUAAAGCAUUGGUUUAUUAUUUCAUCUAAAAUGUGUGUUUCAACGUAAGCACAGUUUUGUUGGGGGCUUGGGUUACGGUACAUUAAAAUAUU
rnacentral:lncRNA from 1 species